UUAUCAAGCGCCUUCCCGCGCGCCGGCCUCCCCACUCUUUCAGCUUCCUGGCGGCUCCGGUCCGUGCGGCUUUUCCUCUUCGUCUCCAGGUAAGCCGCGAUGUCCAACAGCACGAGCCCCUCCUCGCCUCACUGAUGUGCGCCGCGAAGGCGGAACAGCGAGGCUCCCAAGUAGCGGCUUCUGACUCGUAGGCUUGGGCUUCUCUGAGGCGGGCCAGUCGCAAACUCGGAGGCGAAGCAUUUCGUUUGGGGGAAGGCUGGUGCUCUCUAUCCGACUGCGAGGACUGCCGGGAGGGGCUGGCGGCGUCGGUGGCGACAUUGACCACGCGACAGCCGAGACCGAAGGGAGCCCCCCCCCCGCGUUCUUCCCCCCCUUCCCCACGUGACCGCCGCCAUCUUGUUCUGCGGGCGCCGAGGAAACGCAAAGGUUUUCUGGGCCUGCGCAACGGUAGAAAAUGACGGGCGUGGUGGCGGUAGUAGUAGUGGAUGUUGUGAGCAUGCGCAGAAGCGCCCCCCAUGGCUGCCGCGCGGAGCCGGCCCCGCAGACGCGUCUUUUUUGCCUGCUUGCUCAGCCUCCUUCUUUAAGUUUCAGUGCCUCGUGUCUGUUUGCCGCCCGCUUCUCCUUGCCUUUUUUUGUUGUCGUUGCUUUCUUUUUUGUGGGCCUUCGCUUAGUCCCCCCUCUCCUGCCGCCUGGUCCCCCCCCCUCAUUCUCACUCUUCCCCCAGGACUCUUACGUCGCCGGCAUGUCUUCUGAAGACGGAAAGCUCUUCGUGGGAGGGCUCAACUUCAACACCGAUGAGCAAGCGCUGGAAGACCACUUCAGCAGCUUCGGACCCAUCUCUGAGGUGGUCGUGGUCAAGGACCGGGAGACUCAGCGUUCCCGGGGUUUUGGCUUCAUCACCUUCACCAAUCCAGAGCAUGCCUCUGAUGCCAUGCGCGCCAUGAAUGGAGAGUCUUUGGAUGGCCGCCAGAUUCGUGUGGACCACGCAGGCAAGUCUGCCCGGGGAACCCGAGGGGGUGCCUUUGGGGCCCAUGGGCGUGGUCGCAGCUACUCCAGAGGUGGUGGGGACCAGGGCUAUGGGAGUGGCAGGUAUGACAGUCGUCCUGGAGGAUAUGGCUACGGAUAUGGAAGGUCCCGAGACUAUGGAGGCAGAAGCCAGGGUGGUUAUGACCGCUACUCAGGAGGAAAUUACAGAGAUAAUUACGACAACUGAGAUGAGGCAUGCACACCUAAUGUAGGUGGAUGGAGACUCAGGAACUCAGACCUCCUACUUGGCCCUCUGAGCCAGGCCCAGGUAAAGGGGCAUGAUAGCUACAACUUGGAUUCUUGGUCAGACAGCUCGCUUUUUUUUCUUUUUGGGCCACACCCGGUGAUGCACUCAGGAAUUACCCCUGGUGGUGCUUGGGAGACCAUAUGGGAUGCUGGGAAUCAAACCCAGAUCAGGCGCAUCCAAGGCAAAUGCCCUACCCGAUGUGCUAUCACUCCAGCCCCAGGAGGCUUUCUAUGCUGAACUCAGUGGAGCCAGCUAAGCAGUGGGAGCUGGCAGAACUACUAUGGUGGUCAGGGAGGUACCUGCACACCUUGUCUAAGAAGUAAAGUGGCAGCUUCAGCUGGGAUAUGACAGCAAGAUCACGUGGCCUUCCAUGUGUGAAACCCUGGGUUUGGUCACUGGCACCAACAAAGGAAACCAAACCAAUGUCCCCCUAAUUAAAUGAGAUAGUACAGGUCUUAGGCUUAAUCUUGCAUCCAUUCACCAUUGGUGGGAUCUCCUGUGCACCUACCAGCACUGCUGGUGUGGCUUGCUCCCCAGUGAAAACCCGGAAACUCUUGGCCUUGUAAUACAAAUUAGAUUUAAUAAAAUGAACAUGAGGGCAGUGGUGCAUGCAGUCUUUUGAGCAUUUUGAAGGUGUCAGUGUAUGUCAAAACUAAACACUCGUAUCCUUGUUACCUAAACCACUGAACUUUUGGCUUUUGGGCUGCAUCCAUCAGUAAUUAGGGCUCAGUCCUGGCCCUCCACUGAGGGAUCACUCCUGGCAUGGCUCAGGAGACCAUAUGGGGUGCAGAGGAUUGAAUCUGGGUAGACUACAUGCAAGACGUGCUAUCUCUCCAACCCUAAUAAAUCUUUUUUCUGUUUUUUGGGUUAUGCCAGUGCUACUUGGAGUUUACUCCUGGUUUCAUGCUCAGGAUCACUUCUGGCAGACUCGGGGUCCAUAUGGGGCGCUGGGGAUUGAACCCAAGUUGGCCACAUGCAAAGCAAACAGCCUACCUGCUGCGCUAUCACCCAUCCCCCUCCGCCCAACAAAGUUUUAAAGGAAAAACAAGAGCUUUGGGUUUGGAAAAUAACCCUGCAGACUUGAAAGUAUUCUGCCUGUGGGAGGCCCUGUACCUCUUGGGUCUCCCAAUACUGGUAGCAUACGCUGUCAGAUGUUACCCCCCCAAAAAAAGUCCCUCAUCUCCAAAGUGAACUGAGAUAGGAGAUUAUAAUCAACCACGAUAUUCUGCAACAAAAUUAAUCCCCUAUAGACAUUAAUAAAAACUGGAGGGAGUGAUAGCACAGUGGGUAGGGUGUUUGCCUUGCACACGGCCGACCCGGGUUCCACUUCCAGCAUCCCACAUGGUCCCCUGAGCACUGCCAGGGGUGCUUCCUGAGUGCAGAGCCAGGAAUGACCCCUGUGCAUCACUGGGUGUGACCCAAAAAGCAAAAAAACUGGAGGGAUUGGAGACUUUAGGAGUUAGGAUCCUUUCUUAUCCUUCGGCUUUUUGGGUGACACCCAAAAAGGAAACUCCUGCUUCUGCACUCAGGAAUUACUCCUGGAAUUGCUCAGGGAACCAUACGGGAUGCUGGGGAUUGAACCUGCGUUGGUCAGCCAUGUGCAAGGAGCAACUCUUCCCAGCACAGCAACAUGUGUGCUCCAGCAUUGCCAGAUGUGACCCAAGACCUCCGGCCCCAAUAACAAAUACUAACCUUUUCAGACCUGAAGAGCAAUGUGACCAAUUUCUCUGCUGACAUCAGAAGGUGAUUAAUCCAGUGUAAAUCCAGUGUAAGGUAUGGGGAGGUGCAGUCUCCCCUUUGGGGUUGGGGGGCAUGCCUGGUAAUGUUCAGGGCUUACUCCUGUCUCUGAACUCAGGAAUUGCUCCUGAUGAGAUCAAGGGACAUGUGGGAUAUUCGGCAAUAAAACCUAGGUAAACUACUUGAAAGACAAGUGUCCUGUGCCU